UACGUAGGGGGCUAGCGUUGUCCGGAAUCAUUGGGCGUAAAGCGCGUGUAGGCGGUCCGGUAAGUCCGCUGUGAAAGUCGAGGGCUCAACCCUCGAAUGCCGGUGGAUACUGUCGGGCUAGAGUCCGGAAGAGGCGAGUAGAAUUCCUGGUGUAGCGGUGGAAUGCGCAGAUAUCAGGAGGAAUACCCAUAGCGAAGGCAGCUCGCUGGGACGGUACUGACGCUAAGGCGCGAAAGCGUGGGGAGCGAACAGG
rnacentral:rRNA from 1 species